rnacentral:rRNA from 1 species
AGUAACGCGUGGAUAACCUGCCUCACACUGGGGAUAACAGUUAGAAAUGACUGCUAAUACCGCAUAAGCGCACAGUGCCGCAUGGCAGUGUGUGAAAAACUCCGGUGGUGUGAGAUGGAUCCGCGUCUGAUUAGCCAGUUGGCGGGGUAACGGCCCACCAAAGCGACGAUGGAUAGGGGUUCUGAGAGGAAGGUCCCCCACAUUGGAACUGAGACACGGUCCAA